rnacentral:rRNA from 1 species
AUGGUGCGGCCGCGCUGCCGCCUGCACGUUUCCCGUAGCUUCGACCCUGAUGCGCCCACGCUACCGCUUGCUCAUCUCCAUCCACUACAGUGCUGCAGUGAGUACUCCAGUGGUCAAGAUGGAUGUUCAUCACAACCAUUUACCACCAUGUGGAACCAGAAGUUCAGUCAGUGGUUCAAAAGAGAAGGAGUAGAUUCAGAUGUCGUGUUCAAAUUCGAGAUAGACUCCUCUGCACACAGACUAAUGGGGUGGCUGUCCUUUCAGAAGAAGGGGAUAAUAAUUGGUAAUACAAUAGAAUAUUAUGCCAUAUUGACAGAGAUAGUCGAGCUGCAAUAUUUAGAUGGAAGGCGUGUGACAUUAUUCCGUUGCAACUAG